UCUUAAUGAAGAGAUUAAAGAUGUUGCCUUAAUUCGAAGUAUGUUUUCUUAGGGGCUUGGUUAUUCCUGUGCUUAGCUUCUAACGUGGGAUGAGAAAGCUAGCAGGAACAUACCCUGAAGCAUAGCCUACGAAGGGACUAAAGAUGCUUUCUUUCUUUCUUUCUUUCUUUCUUUCUUUCUUUCUUUCUUUCUUUCUUUCUUUCUUUUUCUUUCUUUCUUUCUUUCUUUCCUCUCUCUCUCUCUGUCCCCUCCAUCCCUUUUUGUCUUUCUUUCUUUCUGGCAGAAAUGACUGUGGAUCUUUCGCCCUUUUCUGCAGCUGUUCCGUGGUUUAGGUAGUUUCAUGUUGUUGGGGUUGGCUUUUAACUCGGCAACAAGAAACUGCCUUAAUUACGUCAGUUAGUCUUCAUCAAGGGCAACCUUCCUCCCUCACCCCACCCCCCCUACCCCGCUUUUUAAUUUGACCCCCUUUCCUUUUCCUUUGCUACUCACACGCAGCCAGACGGAAGGGUCGGGAGCCUUUAUUAAGACAGGGAGCAGGCAAAGCGAACAAAUGGUGGUAGACAGACUUCUCUCCCCCCCCCCCACACGCCCCCCUCCGGGGGAAAAAUUAGCAAGAGGAAGAGAGAGGGAGAAAAAAAAAGAGAGAGAGAGAGAGAGAAGGACAGGAGGGCAUUUCUGGGGGGCAGGGACGCAGGUUCGCCAAACCUCAUAACCGUCUCCAACUCACCACACGGCUUCAUAUACCUUCCCAACAAUUCCCCAAGCACUUAUGAUCGCUUCGUCUGGACUUAAGACGACUCUUGCUGCUUGCUGUUGUUUCUGGCCGACGGGGCUCUCCAGACGGACAAACAUGGAGGGGGUCCCUCUCUGAAAAUUUCUCGGGUGGCUUGAAGAACAAAACGGAAAGCGGUACUCUUAGGUCCACAGACCUUCCUCGAGAGCUUGUUCAAGGUUUAACCACGGUGCCUCUUCAAAAUGAAAUGAGGAUUAAAACCAGGAGCUCAGGAUUCGGUGUAGUUUACUGAACAGCAGCCAUGGAUUACAAUCUGCUUCUCCCCACCCCUCUACUAAGUAGCUAAGGAACCCGUUAAGGAAGAAAAGAAAAAUCCUUCUGCCCGGUGUUGGGAUGAACAAGUUGUUGUAAUGGUGAUUGUGGUUGCUUUGGUGGAUCUGGAGGGUUGAGAUUUAAACCGGGCUGCGUGUGCGUGUGAGCGCGGAGAUUUUCAAGGGGGAAAAAAAAAAAAAAUCCAAGAUACCAGGAUCGAAGUGGCCAGAGAGAGAGAGAUCUUCGCCACUGAGCAAAUUGGUGCUAAAUUAGCUUUUUAUCCUUCCAGAUGGGGUUCAGGUUUAUAUUCGGGGAAUGGGAAUGGGGGGGGAAAUCGUGGGGAUUUAUUCCACUACCACCAUCGCGCGCGCGCACACCCCCAAAAAAGAAGAAAAGGGUAAAAGAGGCAAACUAGCAUUGGAGGAAGAAUUCACCCAGUGGUCUGCAACCCACGAUCCUUGACUGAGGACAGGAAACGAGAGCAAGGGACAAGGGCAGGAGCCUGGGGCGAGAAGCUGCAUAUACUUCUAAUAGACAAGAAAUAUAUUUCCGCAGCUUAAGUACAAAGAUGUAUAGGGAACCCUGUUUCCUAGUCAAGCUCUAGGACGGCUCCUUUCUAAACACAAAUUUUAAUUAGAAAUAAAGUCUGCCACCACCCCACCCGCCGCAGGGAGGAUGUGCCUCUGGUCUUUCACGGGAGAAAGGUUAUUUUGCUACUGCUGUGAUUCUCGGGCCACUGUUUGCACUGUCCCCCCCCCCACCUCCUCUACCGUCCCUUCUGAGCCCUCCAGCUCCUUAGCAAACUUUCAGCAGUCGAUUGGGGGAGACCUGAGUCUCAGAGACUGAAGGGUGGGGUAGGGUUGGGGGUGCGUGGAUUCCCUUUCCCGAAGGAGAGGGGGCAACCUGGUCUUGACAAAAUACCACAAAACGGGUGGAGGGGACGACCAGGACUGUAAGUUCUCAGCUCAACGGUCUAACAUCGUUUCCUCCUCUCUGAUUUCUGGUAUGAAAACUAAAGCCCCGAUUUGGGGUUGCAAGCAAGCGAAUAUACUGGGAGCUACCUUCUUCGAAAUCUCUCGGGGGCCCCCCCCAUCCCCACCCCCACCCCCAAUGUUAAAUAAUACACCCACGCACGCCCUCCGAUUUUUAAACAUUUUAAUAAGCAAACGAAAGUGCGCCCAUUGUGCUUGCUUAGUGUAAAGUCACCGGUCUGCAGAUAAAUGGCUCGGUCAAAGGCUUUAAUUAUUCGUCAAAGGCUUUAAUUAUUCGCCAUGGUCCUGAGAUAAUUGAAUUGUUUCAUUAUGUGCUAUAGAUAGAAACGUUUUUCCGGCUUCCUGUAAAUAUGCCCCCUAUAGCAACAUAAGAAAGAAUGGGGUAAUGGUACUAAGUAUCCGUCAGCCAUGUGUAGUGUGACUGUUUAUGUUUGUGUGUAUAUGUGUGUAUAUAUAUAUAUAUAUAUCUUUAUGUAUAUGUGUGUAUAUUUGUGUAUACAUAUCUAUGUAUCUAUGUAUGCAUAUAUCUGUGAAUACACCUAUAUGCGUUUAUCUCUAUGUGUUUCCCACAUUUCCUCUCACAUGGGGUGGGGGGGGGAGAGAUCUAAAGUAAUGUAUGUUUAAUCGACCCAAGUCAAGAACUGUAAUAAAAAUUAAACCCUCCCCUACUGUGUGUUCCCCCUUUAAAUGAUUCUAUUAGAGCUGAGUGUGAGUGAAGAAUUUAGAGACUUAAACAUUAUUGCAGCCUGCUUUUUAAUCUCCAAUGUCAGAAAAGAUGUAAUUAGAAAGAUUUCUUGCUGUUUUGCGCAUUUCUCUCUCUCCUCUCUCAGCAAAAUAUUGUUUUUCCUUGCUUGCUGGAUAUGUUUCGUUCUGGGGAGAAGGUUGCUGUUGGUUAUGCCUAUAAAAUAUUAGCAACCUCAUCGUGCAUUUCCAAUGUUGCUCCAUUUUUCUCGUGUGUGUAUGUGUCUGUGUUAUUGUAAUUCUGCAUUUCACAGCAGGUGUGACUUCAAAAAGUUUCUCUUUUGCUGUCUAGAGUUUGGUGUUCAAACCUACAUGCAAUCUUUCUUCCAGUUUUAUCUAGGUUGUUGUUUUUUUUCUGACCAUUUAUGGAAGAUGCUGGUAGGGAAAAGAGGCGCACAUGUCAUAUAUCCAAUAUAAUGUAUGCAAUGCAAUGUAUAACUAUUUCUGUACAUUAAUAUAAUCUAUAUAAGUCGAUGCAAUAAAUGUGUAUACCUAUCUAAAUACAGUGAUCGCUCAGUGAAUGCUCCCAAAUAAAGUUUUGUGCAUGUAUGCCUUUUUAUUUUCAUACGCAAACAGUAUAACUUUUGUUAAGCCUGUGUUGUAUUUGCGUCAAUACACUGUCUUUCCCUGAA